rnacentral:ncRNA from 1 species
CCCAGGGUAAGUCGGGACCUAAGGCGAGGCCGACAGGCGUAGUCGAUGGACAACCGGUUGAUAUUCCGGUACCCGCUUUGAAACGCCCAAUAUCGAAUCAGGCGAUGCUAAGUCCGUGAAGCCGCCCUGGAUCCUUCGGGUGAAGGGGAGUGGUGGAGCCGACGAACCAGACUUGUAGUAGGUAAGCGAUGGGGUGACGCAGGAAGGUAGUCCAGCCCGGGCGGUGGUAGUCCCGGGGUAAGGGUGUAGGGCGCUGUCUAGGCAAAUCCGGACAGCAUGAAGCCUGAGACCUGAUGCCGAGCCGAUUGUGGUGAAGUGGAUGAUCCUAUGCUGUCGAGAAAAGCCUCUAGCGAGUUUCAUGGCGGCCCGUACCCUAAACCGA